GACGAACGCUGGCGGCGUGCUUAACACAUGCAAGUCGAACGGAAAGGCCCUGCUUUUGUGGGGUGCUCGAGUGGCGAACGGGUGAGUAACACGUGAGUAACCUGCCCUUGACUUUGGGAUAACUUCAGGAAACUGGGGCUAAUACCGGAUAGGAGCUCCUGCUGCAUGGUGGGGGUUGGAAAGUUUCGGCGGUUGGGGAUGGACUCGCGGCUUAUCAGCUUGUUGGUGGGGUAGUGGCUUACCAAGGCUUUGACGGGUAGCCGGCCUGAGAGGGUGACCGGCCACAAUGGGACUGAGAUACGGGCCAGACUCCUACGGGAGGCAAGAGUGGGGAAUAUUGCACAAUGGGCGGAAGCCUGAUGCAGCAACGCCGCGUGCGGGAUGACGGCCUUCGGGUUGUAAACCGCUUUCGCCUGUGACGAAGCGUGAGUGACGGUAAUGGGUAAAGAAGCACCGGCUAACUACGUG
rnacentral:rRNA from 1 species